CGCGUAGGCGGGCGAUCAAGUCCGGGGUGAAAUCUUUCGGCUCAACCGGAAAACUGCCUUGGAUACUGAUCGUCUUGAGGGAGGUAGGGGCAGGUGGAACUUCCGGUGGAGCGGUGAAAUGCGUUGAUAUCGGAAGGAACGCCGGUGGCGAAAGCGGCCUGCUGGAUCUCUUCUGACGCUGAUGCGCGAAAGCUAGGGUAGCGAACG
rnacentral:rRNA from 1 species